rnacentral:rRNA from 1 species
UACGAAGGGGGCUAGCGUUGCUCGGAAUCACUGGGCGUAAAGGGCGCGUAGGCGGCGUUUUAAGUCGGGGGUGAAAGCCUGUGGCUCAACCACAGAAUGGCCCUUCGAUACUGGGACGCUUGGAGUAUGUAGAGGUUGGUGGAACUGCGAGUGUAGAGGUGAAAUUCGUAGAUAUUCGCAAGAACACCGGUGGCGAAGGCGGCCA